rnacentral:rRNA from 1 species
UACGGAGGGGGCUAGCGUUGUUCGGAAUUACUGGGCGUAAAGCGCACGUAGGCGGCUUUGUAAGUUAGAGGUGAAAGCCCAGAGCUCAACUCUGGAACUGCCUUUAAGACUGCAUCGCUUGAAUCAUGGAGAGGUCAGUGGAAUUCCGAGUGUAGAGGUGAAAUUCGUAGAUAUUCGGAAGAACACCAGUGGCGAAGGCGACUGACUGGACAUGUAUUGACGCUGAGGUGCGAAAAGCGGUGG